rnacentral:rRNA from 1 species
CCUACGGGAGGCAGCAGUGGGGAAUAUUGGGCAAUGGGCGCAAGUCUGACCCAGCAACGCCGCGUGAAGGAAGAAGGCUUUCGGGUUGUAAACUUCUUUUCUGAGGGACGAGGCAAGGGACGUUACCUGUGGAUUAAGCCCCGGCUAACUACGUGCCAGCAGCGGCGGUAAUACGUAGGUGGCAAGCGUUUUCCGGAUUUACUGGGUGUAAAGGGCGUGUAGGCGGGAAAGCAAGUCAGAUGUGAAAACCAUGGGCUCAACCUGUGGCCUGCAUUUGAAACUGUUUUUCGUGAGUGAUGGAGAGGCAGACGGAAUUCCUAGUGUAGCGGUGAAAUGCGUAGAUAUAAGGAAGAACACCAGUGGCGAAGGCGGUCUGCUGGACGGCAACUGACGCUGAGGCGCGAAAGCGUGGGGAGCAAACAGGAUUAGAUACCCCUGUAGUC